CUCUCUCUCCUGCAGCCAUGUGAAGACAUACUUGCUUCUCCUUCACCUUCUGCCGUGAUUAUAUGUUUCCUGAAACUUCCCCAACCAUCCCUCCUGUACAGCCUGUGGAACUGUGACCCCACAACCACCCCUGGGGGCACUCUCUGGACCCCAGUAAGGAGAUGAAGAGAUGUGGUCUCGCUGAGCUGGGAAGGAAGAGCUCAGAGAAGAUGGAGGCUGCUGAAGUCACUGGAAUUUGCGGGGGCAGGGAACUGGAGAGGAGAAGCUGCCCAGAAGAGGAGCCCAGGACUGUAGGUGGGGGUCUUCUGGGGGAGGGCUGGACAGGGUAAGACUCAGAAGGCCCAGCAAUGAGAAGCGCUGUGCAGCUGACAGCUGCCUGGAGACCCCAGGAGCCUGCUGGGGCUGAAGGAUGCUGGCCUUCCCAUGACGUGGAGUGGACGGGUCUUGCUAAACCCCCGGGGUGUCCAGCUCAACCCCAGCAAGGAGGAAACCUAAAGAGAAGAUAAGGUGGGCAUGGGACACUCAGACAUGAAAUCAGGAACAGUCUAAAGUCGGAACUAGUAAAACCUAUAUCGAUUCCAGGACAAAACCAAAAUCAGGGCAAGGAGACAAACAGUUUCAUCAUUAAAUAAAAAACCAACUUAGAGGAAGCAACUUGUACCCUAAUGCCCAGCUGGAAGAUGCUUUCAGACAUGUACUCUUAAUUCAACCUGUGUCAACACAAAAUGAAAGGCAUUUUUCUCCCACUACAGUAUUCCCCAUGAAACAAAGAUCAAGAUUAUCGUGUAGGGCAAUUAAUGCUGUGUUUAAACGUCU
rnacentral:lncRNA from 1 species